rnacentral:rRNA from 1 species
UACGUAGGGUGCAAGCGUUAAUCGGAAUUACUGGGCGUAAAGCGUGCGCAGGCGGCUAUGCAAGACAGAUGUGAAAUCCCCGGGCUCAACCUGGGAACUGCAUUUGUGACUGCAUGGCUAGAGUACGGUAGAGGGGGAUGGAAUUCCGCGUGUAGCAGUGAAAUGCGUAGAUAUGCGGAGGAACACCGAUGGCGAAGGCAAUCCCCUGGACCUGUACUGAUGCUCAUGCACGAAAGCGUGGGGAGCAAACAGG